rnacentral:rRNA from 1 species
UACGUAGGGUGCGAGCGUUGUCCGGAAUUACUGGGCGUAAAGAGCUCGUAGGCGGUGUGUCACGUCGGCCGUGAAAACCUGCAGCUUAACUGUGGGCGUGCGGUCGAUACGGGCAUCACUGGAGUUCGGCAGGGGAGACUGGAAUUCCUGGUGUAGCGGUGAAAUGCGCAGAUAUCAGGAAGAACACCCGUGGCGAAGGCGGCUCUCUGGGACGGUACUGACGCUGAGACGCGAAAGCGUGGGGAGCGAACAGG